CCUACGGGAGGCAGCAGUGAGGAAUAUUGGUCCAUGGACGAGAGUCUGAACCAGCCAAGUAGCGUGAAGGAUGACUGCCCUAUGGGUUGUAAACUUCUUUUAUAUGGGAAUAAAAUGUUCCACGUGUGGGCUUUUGUAUGUACCUUAUGAAUAAGGAUCGGCUAACUCCGUGCCAGCAGCCGCGGUAAUACGGAGGAUCCGAGCGUUAUCCGGAUUUAUUGGGUUUAAAGGGAGCGUAGGUGGAUUGUUAAGUCAGCGGUAAAAUUGCGGGGCUCAACCCCGUCGAGCCGUUGAAACGGGCAGACGUGAGUUGGCGAGAAGUACGCGGAAUGCGCGGUGUAGCGGUGAAAUGCAUAGAGAUCGCGCAGAACUCCGAUUGCGAAGGCAGCGUACCGGCGCCAGACUGACGCUGAGGCACGAAAGCGUGGGGAUCGAACAGGAUUAGAUACCCUAGUAGUC
rnacentral:rRNA from 1 species